rnacentral:rRNA from 1 species
AGUUCGGAUUGCAGGCUGCAACUCGCCUGUAUGAAGUCGGAAUUGCUAGUAAUCGCGGAUCAGCAUGCCGCGGUGAAUACGUUCCCGGGCCUUGUACACACCGCCCGUCACACCAUGAGAGCCGGGAACACCCGAAGUCCGUAGUCUAACCGUAAGGAGGACGCGGCCGAAGGUGGGUUUGGUAAUUGGGGUGAAGUCGUAACAAGGUACC